UACGGAGGAUCCGAGCGUUAUCCGGAUUUAUUGGGUUUAAAGGGAGCGUAGGUGGAUUGUUAAGUCAGUUGUGAAAGUUUGCGGCUCAACCGUAAAAUUGCAGUUGAAACUGGCAGUCUUGAGUACAGUAGAGGUGGGCGGAAUUCGUGGUGUAGCGGUGAAAUGCUUAGAUAUCACGAAGAACUCCGAUUGCGAAGGCAGCUCACUGGACUGCAACUGACACUGAGGCUCAAAAGUGUGGGUAUCAAACAGG
rnacentral:rRNA from 1 species